rnacentral:lncRNA from 1 species
CAUGUUCACGGCUACAACGGCGUCGUCACAGACGCCGCGAGGAUAGCAGUCGCUCGAGUUGGCGUUUCUGUUGAGGCAGUCCUGGACGUCGCUCGGGAUCUGGUAGAGGUUUCCAGUGCCAAUGAAGGCGAGUCCUCGCUUGGGAUCGAUGGAAGGACUGUUUCCCCAAACUGUAACGCCGUAGAACCGGAAUUUUCAGGAGCCAUGUAAGUUCUCCAUAUUCGUUUUCCAGUUUUGAGGUCGAGUUUCUGAAAGCUUCCUUGGAAUGUGCAACAGGCUGCCUUUACAAGCUCUUGGAGCGAAGACAUACCAACGUAGAAAGCUCUGCCAGUAUGAUAGGUUCUCAAGAGCAGAAAAAAAGAAAAGAAAUGAAGUUUGCUUACCCGUCGUAUGCUGUUCCUGACAUGGUGAUCCUUGCCAGGGGCGUUUCAUCCAGAUCUUCUGACAUCCACACCAUUCUUCCAUUCUUACGGUGUAAAGCAACACCUCUAGCGGGACCGAGCAAACCAUACAGCAAGAGCUCUUCAGUCACAGCCGGUAUCGUCCGCGACAAAGUGGCAACUCCCGUGAUUUCUGUCAAGUUCGUGCUCCAGAGAAGUUCUCCG